rnacentral:rRNA from 1 species
UACAGAGGGUGCGAGCGUUGUUCGGAUUUACUGGGCGUAAAGCGCACGUAGGCGGAUCGAUCAGUCAGGGGUGAAAUCCCAGAGCUCAACUCUGGAACUGCCUUUGAUACUGUCGAUCUGGAGUAUGGAAGAGGUGAGUGGAAUUCCGAGUGUAGAGGUGAAAUUCGUAGAUAUUCGGAAGAACACCAGUGGCGAAGGCGACUUACUGGUCCAUUACUGACGCUGAGGCUCGAAAGCGUGGGGAGCAAACAGG